UAUUCCUCCGGGAUGCUUUCAGCGCGACGAACGCGCGUCGAGGAGCGACAUGACAAACACUCUUCACACCGAGACGCGUCGUGCCAGAGCCCGGGGCUUGAGAAAUUACUCUAACAACGAGAGCCCCUGAACUGAUCGAUCUUGAAGGUUUCAUAUACAGGAAGUCCAGUGUCUUGUAAAGCUCUCUGGAAGCUGGAUGUUCUUCGUCCUCGGUCUCCUGAAUAUUCCUCUCCUGUGUUGUUAAGGAUGCUCCAUCUCAUCAGGACGCUGCCAGCAGCUGCGGGACUGUCCGUUUCUAUCCAUCAGGCUUAAUAUCGUAUACACCGCCUCCUUCAAGAUGCACUACAUCCCAUCAGUACAGCCAAGAGAAGAUGAACAAUACCCAGCUGGGUCGGUUUAAUUGACUACAUCACCACCGCAGCAAUACCGACUCGCUAAUGUGUAUUUGCAACUUAAUGUGCACUUUAUAUCGGUAGACCAUAUAUGAUUGCGAUCCACUGAAGAGACCGAAAUGCAUUUAGCAGAGACAAAAAGUCUGUAAAAAAAUAGCGUCCGAUGUACCGUGUUAAUAUGCAUUGCAUCGCCUUGUGCUGUAGACUGUAGGCAAAAACAUUUAUCUUUAAAAAUAUCCUUUUUAUUUAGAAUUCAGUACAAUGCAAAAUCUGCGGAUCAUCAUGUAACACGCGUAUUGUUACAAUACAAGUAAAAACUUUACACCAGUAAAGUAUGUUGUUUAUUAAUUUGAUCCAGUGAUGAUAGGUUUGAUUUACAUCCAUUGCAUUUCACUAACACUGUGUAAUAAAUAUAAAAAAUAAAUAUAUAAAUAGAAUAAAUAAAUGCAUAAAUAAUU